rnacentral:rRNA from 1 species
CGUGUAGGCGGUUGGCCAAGUCCGAUGUGAAAGCCCGAGGCUCAGCCUCGGAAGUGCAUCGGAAACUAGCCGGCUGGAGCGCGAUAGAGGAGGGUGGAAUUCCUGGUGUAGCGGUGAAAUGCGUAGAUAUCAGGAGGAACACCGGCGGCGAAGGCGGCCCUCUGGAUCGUUGCUGACGCUGAGACGCGAAAGCGUGGGGAGCAAACAGGAUUAGAUACCCUGGUAGUCCACGCUGUAAACGAUGGGUACUAGGUGUUCGGGGUAUUGACCCCCUGAGUGCCGCAGUUAACGCAUUAAGUACCCCGCCUGGGGACUACGGCCGCAAGGUUAAA